rnacentral:rRNA from 1 species
UACGUAGGGGGGCUAGCGUUGUCCGGAUUUAUUGGGCGUAAAGAGCGUGUAGGCGGCCCAGGUAGGUCUGGUGUGAAAACUCGAGGCUUAACCUCGAGAUGUCAUCGGAAACCAUCUGGCUAGAGUCCGGAAGAGGAGAGUGGAAUUCCUGGUGUAGCGGUGAAAUGCGCAGAUAUCAGGAAGAACACCAAUGGCGAAGGGCAAGCCUCUCUGGGGACGGUACUGACCGCUGAGACGCGAAAAGCGUGGGGAGCGAACAGGAUU